rnacentral:rRNA from 1 species
GCCCGAUUAGCUUGUUGGCGAGGUAACGGCUCACCAAGGCAAUGAUCGGUAGCUGGUCUGAGAGGAUGAUCAGCCACACUGGAACUGAGACACGGUCCAGACUCCUACGGGAGGCAGCAGUGGGGAAUCUUGCACAAUGGGCGAAAGCCUGAUGCAGCGACGCCGCGUGGGGGAUGAAGCUUCUCGGAGUGUAAACCCCUUUCGCCUGGGACGAAUGCCCGCAAGGGAGUGACGGUACCAGGAUAAGAAGCCCCGGCUAACUACGUGCCAGCAGCCGCGGUAAGACGUAGGGGGCCAGCGUUGUUCGGAAUUACUGGGUGUAUAGGGUUCGUAGGCGGUGUGGCAAGUUGGGAGUGAAAUCUCUGGGCUCAACCCAGAGGCUGCUUCCAAAACUGCUGUGCUUGAGUGUGAGAGAGGCUCGUGGAAUUGCAGGUGUAGCGGUGAAAUGCGUAGAUAUCUGCAGGAACACCCGUGGCGAAAGCGGCGAGCUGGAUCACUACUGACGCUGAGGAACGAAAGCUAGGGGAGCA